CCGAGUGUCGGGCCCUCCGGGUCCAGCCUCCCACCCGUGUCUACCUGUCCCUUGUUGCUUCGGCGGGCCCGCGCCCCUUCGGGGGGGCGGCCCAGGGGGCCUUGGCGCCCCCGGGUCCCGCGCCCGCCGGAGACCCUCCUGAACUCUUCGUGUGAAGGUUGCCGUCUGAGUGGGAUUUUUGAUAAGAAGCAAA
rnacentral:misc_RNA from 1 species